rnacentral:rRNA from 1 species
CCCUUAGAUGUUCUGGGCUGCACGCGCGCUACACUGAAGCGUUCAACGAGUAUUCACCUUGCCCGGGAGGGUUGGGUAAUCUUUUGAAAACGCUUCGUGAUGGGGAUAGAUUAUUGCAAUUAUUAAUCUUCAACGAGGAAUUCCUAGUAAGCGCGAGUCAUCAGCUCGUGCUGAUUACGUCCCUGCCCUUUGUACACACCGCCCGUCGCUCCUCCCGAUUGAGUGAUCCGGUGAAUAAUUCGGACUGCAGCACUGCUUGGUCUCCAGGCUUUGCAGCGGAAAGUUUAGUGAACCUUAUCACUUAGAGGAAGGAGAAGUCGUAACA